UGGAGCAAUGUUGACAGUGUGUCAUAAACCAAGGGUAAUGAUUAAUCCAGACUGGCUCACUUGAGGUCCAAC
rnacentral:snoRNA from 1 species